rnacentral:tRNA from 1 species
CUAAAAAGAAGCAUGGAGGAAUUGCGGAGGGUUUUGAUCUCUUAGACGUAGGUUCAAUUCCUACCUUUUUA